UACGUAGGGGGCGAGCGUUGUCCGGAUUUAUUGGGCGUAAAGAGCUCGUAGGCGGCUUGGCAAGUCGGGUGUGAAACCUCCAGCUCAACCUGGAGACGCCACUCGAUACUGCCAUGGCUAGAGUCCGGUAGGGGACCACGGAAUUCCUGGUGUAGCGGUGGAAAUGCGCAGAUAUCAGGAGGAACACCGGUGGCGAAGGCGGUGGUCUGGGCCGGCACUGACGCUGAGGAGCGAAAGCGUGGGUAGCAAACAGG
rnacentral:rRNA from 1 species